rnacentral:rRNA from 1 species
CAGUAGCCGCGGUAAUACAGAGGGUGCGAGCGUUAAUCGGAUUUACUGGGCGUAAAGCGUGCGUAGGCGGCUUCUUAAGUCGGAUGUGAAAUCCCUGAGCUUAACUUAGGAAUUGCAUUCGAUACUGGGAAGCUAGAGUAAGGGAGAGGAUGGUAGAAUUCCAGGUGUAGCGGUGAAAUGCGUAGAGAUCUGGAGGAAUACCGAUGGCGAAGGCAGCCAUCUGGCCUAAUACUGACGCUGAGGUACGAAAGCAUGGGGAGCAAACAGGAUUAGAUACCCCCGUAGUCCCUGUCUCUUAUAC